GAUGAACGCUGGCGGCGUGCUUAACACAUGCAAGUCGAACGAAGCAAUCUAACGGAAGUUUUCGGAUGGAAGCUGGAUUGACUGAGUGGCGGACGGGUGAGUAACGCGUGGGUAACCUGCCUCACACUGGGGGACAACAGUUAGAAAUGACUGCUAAUACCGCAUAAGCGCACAGGACCGCAUGGUCCGGUGUGAAAAACUCCGGUGGUGUGAGAUGGACCCGCGUUUGAUUAGCUAGUUGGUGGGGUAACGGCCUACCAAGGCGACGAUCAAUAGCCGACCUGAGAGGGUGACCGGCCACAUUGGGACUGAGACACGGCCCAAACUCCUACGGGAGGCAGCAGUGGGGAAUAUUGCACAAUGGGGGAAACCCUGAUGCAGCGACGCCGCGUGAGUGAAGAAGUAUUUCGGUAUGUAAAGCUCUAUCAGCAGGGAAGAAAAUGA
rnacentral:rRNA from 1 species